CUGAUGUUCAAAUUGUCGACCACCCCUGCUGGAUGGUGCUGCCUCUUAGCCUGAAUUGAAUUUGAUGUGAAAAACUGAGCUUUGUGAGUGCUCCACCCACUCAGCACCCUCAGGCAAUGUGAGGAACUCUCAGAGGUGGAUGAACCCCUCCUCGAACCACAGCUGUGGGGUGUUAAAGUGUGAAACGGCUUUCGAGUGGUACUUCUCAACUUCUGAGACAUCCAUAUCCAGGGUUUUUGAGGAAAACAUUCCAGAAUUUUUCUCCAUAUAGAGGACUUCAAUGGGGAUCAACGGGUUGAAGGUCCAAACUGCAGUUUCAGUGCAGCUUCAAAGGGCUCUACAUCAUCCCAGU
ensembl:lncRNA